CCCGCCUUCUAAACUGUUCCAGAACCCCAUCUGUCACAUCACUCCCGAACAAUCCAAUGAAAAUCUUACAGCAGGCCCCAUUCUAGACUGCUCCAGAACCCCCAACAUCACCCGAUGCUGCACUCCAGAAUCAUGUAUUAUUUCCAUGUCUGGCGUUAGGAGAAUAAGACAAACGUGGAUCCCUGAUGUAGACAUAUUAAGUGGAAGGCAUUAAGAGUGCUUCAGAAUCAGUGACCUGUGAAUGGCGCUGUUUACCUGCAAGCCUCCACUGCAUACCUGCGGGCCAGUCGUGAGAAAUCCCCUAGUUACCACCUGAGCUGGAACGAACAAGGAUUGGGCCCAGACUAGGAAGGAGCCUAGUCUGUGAAAGAAGCUUAUUGGAACAGCUCUGAGGGUGAGAUUUACCUGUAUUCAGUUUCUUAAUGUCUUAGGCUUGCAUGUUUUGUUUUAUUUUGCUUGGUAACUUACUUUGUUCUGUUAUUCCUUGAAACCACUUAGAUCCUACCUUUUUACACUUAA